AGGAAAGGGCCCUGGCUUUACCUCAUCUGCAGCAUUCACAGUCAACAAAGCAUUUUUUAUUUCCUUUUCACCUUGAAAAUCACAACACCAAUCCAAAUGCAAUGAAUCCAUCACAGAUCAAGCACCAUGGCUUACUUUGAUCUUUCCAAUAUAUAAUGUUUUAGAUAAAAAAAAAAAGAGAAAAUAAAAAAGAGCACUGCCCAAAGAAAUGUGACAUUAAUGUUUAGUGAGCAAAGGAGAGAUGGGACAGGCAGAAAUUACACUUGUACAAUGGAAAUAUCUCAAAUUCUUCUCCUUGAAGAGGUGCUCCAAGGGUGGAAUACAACAAAGCAGAACAAACCCAGAUAACCCCAAAAUCAGUCCCUCAGUCACAAUAAAAGACUUCAAUAAAGGAGCCAGAGAAACACCAAACAGAACAUACUGCAAUGACCUGCUCAGUGUUACCAGAGAAGAAAAGGUACCAGUUUUUAACACUGCUGACAGAAAAACCUCCAGACAUUAGUCUCAACUUUUUUUUUGGAAACCAUUAGUACCUCUGGUUCCAAAAUAUUCCCUUGUAGCAAGGAAUGUCACAACCCAAUUAUGUUCUGCACAGGAAAAAAGUCCCUUUCUUCAAUUUAUCUCAAACCUGGCAUCUGCUUUUUUUUUUUUUGGCUGUUUUAAAGUUCUUGUACUGUGAAACAGCUAUUAAGAACAAAGUAGAAGAGAAAUCAUGUAAUAUUAGACAAAUCAAUCAAAACCACCUCAAGCUUUCAUUUGAAGCAUUUCAAAUCUUGACUUGUAAGGAGCUGCUCCACACCUUUACUCAAACCAGAAAAUCUGGAGUAAAACCUCAGGAAUUAGAGGCUGCCAUUUUCUGAAGUUAAAGCCAUAAUGCUCUGGGAGGAAAAAAAAAAAAAAAGCCAAACAGAACAAGUUUGGAUUUUACCAGUAACAUUCAACUUUCAGUACAGAAAGAGCCAGGCUCAUGCAGAAGGCUGAUGACACAUAUCUACAUUAAGAGGCCAAAAUUAACCAAGUCUUCAGGUCCACCACUGUCUUACCUCACUUUCUGCAAAGUGCCUUUCUCCCUUCAAGCAUAAUGAAGUUCGUCUCAAGGUCCUUU